rnacentral:tRNA from 1 species
GCCCCGGUGGCGGAAUUGGUAGACGCACUGGUCUUAGGUAUCAGCAGCUGAGAGUUCGAGUCUCUCUUGGGGCACCA